AUGGCGCGACUUGGACUGCAGCGACUCACCUAUUUUUUUAUGCAUACGCGAGGAAGGAGGCAAGCAGCAGGAUGGGCCAUGAUCAUCGACCAGGAGCCAGAGGAGAGGAGUGGAUCAUUGGGGGCGGCGACACAUCGGGCGGUGGAUGAAGGAGGGCUACUUCCUUGUGGCGGAAGUGCCCUUGAGUCGGAAGGAGGCAGGGGCACCGGCGUGCCUGGAAGAGGCGGCGGCCUCGCGCCGGAAGGAGGCACGGGCGCGACGUGCCUGGAGGAGGAGGCGGCCUCGGCAGGAAGAGGCAGGGUCGCCGGCGGGCCAGGAGGAGGCGGGGGCGGCGGCGGCCUCGUGCCACCGGAAGGAGGCUGA
rnacentral:rRNA from 1 species